rnacentral:misc_RNA from 1 species
AAUUCUCAACCUCACCAGUUUUCUGAACUGACUGAGGCUUGGAUGUGGGGGUUUGUGCAGGCUGCCUCACGGCGGUCUGCUCCCCUGAAAUGCAUUAGCGAGGUUCAUGCUGGACCUCCGUCUAUUGGUGUGAUAAUUAUCUACGCCGUGGACGAGGAUACAGACUCGCUUCUAAUCGUCCGCGAGGACAAUACCUUGACA